rnacentral:pre_miRNA from 1 species
UGCCCCAACAAGGAAGGACAAGAGGUGUGAGCCAUACGCCCGGCCUCCUGUCUUUCCUUGUUGGAGC